UAAAAAAAUUUAUUUAAGUUAAUGUUCCCGAAUUCUCAAGAGCUAGGAAAUUAUUUAUUUUAAUGUGAAAUAAUUAUUUUUAAUAUUUUUUUUGUAAUUAUAUGUUAGUCGGGUGAGAAUAUAUCUGGUUUUUUAAGAAAUUAAUUUAAUUAAGCCUAUUUAUGAAAUUUUACUUAUUUUGAAGAUAUUUUUUUAUGAUGGUGUAAUAGUUUGAGGGAUAAGCUUUAGACUAUAUUUUUAUAAUAUUAUGAGUAAUAAAUAGUUUAUAGGAUUAGAAGUGUUCAAUAUAAUAAGUGUGUUAUUACAAAUUAUUUAUUUAUUAGAUUUUUUAUUUAUUUAAAUAUUUUAUUAAAAUUAUAAGUUUAUUUAAUUAUCUUAUGUAAUAAUGAUAAAAUUAGUAUAUAAAAUUGUUUUAUAAAAAUCUUAAUUUUGAGGUUAAUCAAAGGAACUCGGCAAAAUAAGAUUUUCUGCCUGUUUAAUAAAAACAUGGCCUUUUGAUUAUGAUUUAAGGUCUGACCUGCCCAAUGAUUAAUUGAAUGGCCGCGGUAUUUUGACCGUGCAAAGGUAGCAUAAUCAUUAGUUUUUUAAUUGAAAGCUGGAAUGAAUGGUUGGACAAGAAAAUUUCUGUCUCUGUUUAAUUUUUUAGAAUUUUAUUUUUUAGUUAGAAAGCUUAAAUUUUUUUAAGGGACGAGAAGACCCUAUAGAAUUUUACUUAUAAAAGAGUUUUUAAUGUUUAGAUUUAUUUUUUUGAAAUUUAUUUUAUAUGUUUUGUUGGGGUGAUAGAAAAAUUUAAAUAACUUUUUUUUGUUUAAAUCAUUGAUUAAUGAAUAAUUGAUCCAUUUGUUUUGAUUAUAAGAAUAAAUUACCUUAGGGAUAACAGCGUAAUUAGUUUGGAGAGUUCUAAUCGAUAAAUUAGUUUGCGACCUCGAUGUUGGAUUAAAAUUUACUAUUGGUGUAGCAGCUGAUUGGUUGAGUCUGUUCGACUUUUAAAAUUUU
rnacentral:rRNA from 1 species